ensembl:lncRNA
AGAUAAGCACACUGUAACUGUCUUCAGACACACCAGAAGAGGGCAUCAGAUCCCAUUACAGAUGGUUGUGAGACACCAUGUGGUUGCUGGAAUUUGAACUCAGGACCUCUGGAAGAGCGGAAAGAGCAGUCAGUGCUCUUAACCACCGAGCCAUGUCUCCAGCCUGAAUUCAUCAGUUUGAAGUGAGAAAAUGAGUUCAUGUCAGAAAAGGCAAAAUAAAAAAUAAUAAAGAGAAGAAGAGUUUCUGGCUAAGGAGAACUUCCCACCAAGAAAAGCUGGGUAAAUAUACUAGAGCAAACUCCCUGGGAAAGGCAUGGAGCAGGAGCACUUAUUGAGCACAUUCAGGUGGUGUUAGCAAUAUGACAAAAUAGUAGCUUCUUAUCAGCAUCUCCAUCAAAGGCAGAAACACUAAUUUUCACAGCAGCAUAUGCCAGGGUUUCUAUUCCCACACAAACAUCAUGACCAAGAAGCAAGUUGGGGA